GAUGAACGCUGGCGGCGUGCCUAAUACAUGCCAGUCGAGCGAACAGAUAAGGAGCUUGCUCCUUUGACGUUAGCGGCGGACGGGUGAGUAACACGUGGGUAACCUACCUAUAAGACUGGAAUAACUCCGGGAAACCGGGGCUAAUGCAGGAUAACAUUUUGAACCGCAUGGUUCUACAGUGAAAGGCGGCCUUGCUGUCACUUAUAGAUGGACCCGCGCCGUAUUAGCUAGUUGGUGAGGUAACGGCUCACCAAGGCAACGAUACGUAGCCGACCUGAGAGGGUGAUCGGCCACACUGGAACUGAGACACGGUCCAGACUCCUACGGGAGGCAGCAGUAGGGAAUCUUCCGCAAUGGGCGAAAGCCUGACGGAGCAACGCCGCGUGAGUGAUGAAGGUCUUCGGAUCGUAAAACUCUGUUAUUAGGGAAGAACAGAUGCGUAAGUAACUGUGCGCGUCUUGACGGUACCUAAUCAGAAAGCCACGGCUAACUACGUG
rnacentral:rRNA from 1 species